rnacentral:tRNA from 1 species
CGCGGGGUAGAGCAGUCUGGUAGCUCGUCGGGCUCAUAACCCGAAGGCCCAUGGUUCAAAUCCAUGCCCCGCCA